CCCGUCCACGAGCUCGGAGCAGCGUCUAGCGUGGGCCUGCGGAGCAGGGCCGGACGAGCUCCCCACCUGGUGGGCACUGGGCUGCAGAGAGGCAGAUGUCCCAGGCCAGUGGGCAGGCGAGGAGGUCACAUAAAGUGACUCCACGGGGUCAAGACAUGGAACAGGAUGUGAGGAUGCCACUGCGCAGGGGCAUCAGGAAGACAAAUGGGAUCCUACCUUUGAAAUGGAAAAAACAAAAGACAGAGCAGACUGACCUUCUCAAAGCUUGCCAGAGACUGAUGGUCUCAAGGCUGACCGUCUAAGGCUUGUCCCUCCUGCUAAAUUCACAAAGGUCACCAUGCCCAGAAGAUGAACUGCUGAAACACAGCUGCCCACCUCCCUAUGUCUUAAAGAUAAACUGUGAAAACAACAUUACCUCCACCUCCCUACCCUUUGCUAAGUUCUGCUUCUGUGAAAUUCUGCUCGCUCUCCCACCCUGGCUGAAGAACAGAUAAAUAUGAGAACAAAUGGAGAAACAGGGCUCAGACUCUGGAAGGUAACUUCUGCUGGGCUCGCUAGCUAGCGAAUAAACCUGCCUUCCCUUCACUUCUCUGAGUGCCGGUCUCUCCCUUGGUCUGCCACCCUCCGGUGGUGCCACUUUACCUUCACUGCACAUUGACGUGCUCCACAGGUGAGUGCUGGCUUUGGGACUGAGCCGAGGGGAGAGCGGCCUGCCUGUCCCUGAGAGCCACCCAGAGCCCGAGGCCUGUGCCCAGCCCAACAAGCAACUCUCCGAGUCAGGCAAGCCCUGCUCUCUGCAUGGCCUGUCUCCCAAACUCCACCCUCAUCCCUCAGUUUCUUUCCUGCCUCUCAGAUCUAGCCUUGGUCUCUCUCAGGAUACUUAAGGCUCCUCCGGGCCAAAGGGCUCCUUUACUGAGUGGGAAAGAAGGGUCCCGGGCUCCAGCAGUGUAAUGGUGCUGACCCCCGGGUGGCAGGUGGUGUUUUCCACAGCGCCACUUCCUUACUCUCCGAGGGCGCCACUAAGGACCCCAUGUGUCCAGUCUUCAUCAGGGCCAUGCUUCACCCACCCAAGGAGCACCCCAACCCCUCAAGGACCAGGACAGUUCUCCAGCAGGCAAGAAACUUCAGCUAGAAUUAGGCAGAGAUGAUGGAGACAAAGCAGACUUCCUUGGUGGUAGGACAACAUCCCAGCAGGCACCAUAUCGGGCACUGAAUCACAUGCUAGUGACAUUCUCUGUGUGUCAUCCUGCCUCCUUAAAGUUGUGAAAAGAACGCCAGGUAUUGUUCGCAUUCCUGUAAUCCCAGCACUCAGGAGGCUGAGGCAGGAGAACUGCUGAGAGUUCAAGGCCAGCCUGGGCUACACAGCAAGACUGUGUCUCAAAAAAUUUUUUUUAUUUGUAAGAUAUUUAGGUACAUGAUUUUAGACAAAUAUGGGAGGAUGUUAUUGAAUUUAUUGAUGUCAGAAUGAGAAUGUAAGAUCCGGCACAUUUUUACAGUUAAUGAAAUUAAAUAUACAAGGAUUCAUUUAACUACAUAAGUGUUCCCCGCAGGUUUAGUCAUAGACACUGUAGUGAAGGAGAAAGACCAUAACAGUGACAAAGAAGUAAGUCACAUGAUUCCUAGAAGGUGGUCCGUAGGGAGAGACACAGCAGUGGGGACAGACAGGGAAGGCUUCAUCCCAGGGGAGAGACUUGCAGGGGUGCAGAGGGCUUGGGCACAGGGCCUGGCCAGGAGUGCGCUGGAGGGUUGGGGCCAAGUGCUGGUGAGGGCCAGGGGUAGAGACAGGUGAGCCCAGGAGAGCCAGGAGACCGCUGGAGGGAAAUGGGCAGUGGUGCGGGGGGUGACCAGUCCAGGAGCACAAGCAGGAGCAGGGAGGCCUGGCCCUGGGAAAGGCUGCUUUGGCAGCAGUUGGAGGCUUCAGCAUAAUCGAUGGAGCAAUAAUACAUAGGGCCAGCCUCCCUGCCACAUGUUUUUUCUGUGAAAUGUUUUGUUCCAAAAAUGUAACUGUGCUACAGGGUGCUCCUGCCCAGUGUAUCAAAAUAUUUUGUAACUGUUUGAACUGUGAGACCCUUUAGGAAUGUUGUAUAACUCUGCCCUCCACACUCACCUAUCCCUAGCUCCCUGUAUAAGGAUGCUCCCAUUUCUGCUUCAGCACUCAGAAUUUGGAGCCAACAAGCUCCUCUGAGCCAGCCGACAAUCUGACUUGCAGAUUCUCAAGUCAGUCUUCAAAUUUCUGGAGCCUGUGCUUGAGCUACAACACAGAGCUGUAACACUUGGCUGUAACACAGCUAUUUUGCUUUGCCACAACAUAAUCCCAUUGGUGGGAGCGUAGCUAAGUGGUAGAGCUCUUGCCUAGCAUGAGUAAAGCGCUGGGUUCAUCCCCUGCACCAAAACAAAAUCAAGGGAAGUCUAUAAUAUUAUAGAUGCUUUUUUAAAGGUUUGAGAAAGUUUAAGUUGGUUUAUACAUGAGACCAAGGAUUAACCAAAGACCCCUUUGGAAGUGGCUGUUAUAAUUCACUAUGUUCUUUUUGGGGGGUACAAUUCACUAUGUUCUUAAAUACAACAUUAAGGCUUGUGACUAGAACGUAUGUAUUUUGUGGCAUGUUAUUAAACACAAAGAAAUUUAA